GAUGAACGCUGGCGGCGUGCCUAAUACAUGCAAGUAGAACGCUGAAGGAAGGAGCUUGCUCUUUCCGGAUGAGUUGCGAACGGGUGAGUAACGCGUAGGUAACCUGCCUGGUAGCGGGGGAUAACUAUUGGAAACGAUAGCUAAUACCGCAUAACAGUAGAUGUUGCAUGAUAUCUACUUAAAAGGUGCAAUUGCACCACUACCAGAUGGACCUGCGUUGUAUUAGCUAGUUGGUGAGGUAACGGCUCACCAAGGCGACGAUACAUUGCCGACCUGAGAGGGUGAUCGGCCACACUGGGACUGAGACACGGCCCAGACUCCUACGGGAGGCAGCAGUAGGGAAUCUUCGGCAAUGGACGGAAGUCUGGCCGAGCAACGCCGCGUGAGUGAAGAAGGUUUUCGGAUCGUAAAGCUCUGUUGUAAGAGAAGAACGAGUGUGAGAGUGGAAAGUUCACACUGUGACGGUAUCUUACCAGAAAGGGACGGCUAACUACGUG
rnacentral:rRNA from 1 species